GGCCGCUUGAGGGAGCGGAGCGGCGGGCGCUGAGCCGGGAGCCCUCUCGGCUUUGCGGGCCUUCUCCCGAGGGGCUCCUCUGGGGGAGGCGAGAGGGCCGCUCUGAGGCGGGAGCGGAGGGAUCCGAGCAGGCGGAGUUGUAAGGCGGCGGGCGCGUGCGGGACGCGCGGCGGCUGCGCGGGCUGAGGGGACCCGGCUGAGGGGACGCGGCCGCCCCCGGGACCCCGGCCCUGCGCCAGAGCCGCCGCCGGCAGGGGAUCUUCCCUGGCCCAGCUCAGGCUUGCUGUGUAUGGCUGGCCAGGACUGCCCCCAGAACUGAGGAGAGGAGCUGAUCGCCCCGUGCUUCUGGAUUGCUGGAUGCCAGCACUGACUAGGUAUGGAGAACUUGGUAGCUGGCUCCAAUCUUCCUCCACUUUUUACAGAUGAGGAUGGAUCUAAGGAAGGUACUGAAAUUAAUGUAACUGGAUUAGCUAAUUCGGAGAGUUCAUUCAGUGGUGGAACUUCACAGCCUGUGAAUAACCCAGAUUUGGUGGAAGACUUGUCACAGGCUCAGCAGCAGCAAAAUGAGACUUCUAAUGCUGCUGAAACCACUGAGCAGAAGCCUGAGGAGGAGCAGCAAAGAACCAAACGAGGAGGCUGGGCCAAAGGGAGAAAAAGGAAGAAACCCCUCCGGGACAGCAAUGCCCCCAAAUCCCCCCUCACCGGGUACGUGCGGUUCAUGAACGAGCGCAGGGAGCAGCUGCGGGCGAAGCGGCCGGAGGUGCCUUUCCCAGAGAUCACCAGGAUGCUGGGCAAUGAGUGGAGCAAGCUGCCCCCUGAGGAGAAACGGCGAUACCUUGAUGAAGCAGACAGAGAUAAGGAGCGUUACAUGCGGGAGCUGGAGCAGUAUCAGAAGACUGAAGCCUACAAAGUCUUUAGCAGGAAAGCACAGGACAGACAAAAAGGCAAAUCACACAGACAAGAUGGAGCAAGACAGCCAGCUCAUGAUCAUGAGAAAGAAGCAGACACAAAGGAGAGGUCUGUCUUUGAUAUCCCAAUCUUCACAGAAGAGUUCCUGAAUCAUAGUAAAGCCCGUGAGGCGGAGCUGCGGCAGCUGCGCAAAUCCAACAUGGAGUUUGAGGAGAGGAACGCGGCCCUGCAGAAGCACGUGGAGAGCAUGCGCACGGCCGUGGAGAAGCUGGAGGUGGACGUGAUCCAGGAGCGGAGCCGCAACACCGUGCUGCAGCAGCACCUGGAGACCCUGCGGCAGGCGCUCACCAGCAGCUUCGCUGGGGUCCCGCUGCCGGGCAGCGGGGAAACCCCCACAAUGGAAACGAUUGAUUCCUACAUGAACAGACUGCACAGCAUUAUCCUGGCCAACCCACAGGAGAACGAGAACCUCAUUGCCACGGUGCGGGACGUGGUGAACAGGCUGGAGCGUUAGUGACGGGGUCUCGUGACCCGGGGAAGCUUUACAAAAUUUUUUUGGCCAGUGUGGAAUAAGAAGCCAUGGGGGAAAGCCUAGGGUGGGAGGCAGGAUGGCAGAGGAGGAAAAAAAUCCUUCCAAGGGCUCACUGUCUUUGUAUCAGAUGAAUAUAUAUGCAACAAUUUCCCAGCCUGAUGGAGACAGAAGUUGAAAUAUGCUUGGAGCAGUUAUAGCCAACCAUAUGUAAGUGCUGGCAUUACCUGGAGCUUGUUUCUCCCACAAGGUGAUAUUUCUACCAUGGUAAUCUUGCUGUUUCCUGCUGUAGGCAGUAUUAGGGAGAAUGUGUCAGAAAAUUUGUCAAAAUGGCUUUUUCUCAGAAGAUUCCAUAUUAGUUAUCCCCACGGGGGUGGGGAGGGGGGUAGGGAACUAUAGGUUUAGUUGAAAAUUCAUAGUUCUGUGGUUUGGCCAGCAUAAGUUUCAGGGGCAAGUCUAUAUGCCCAGCUGCAGAAUCUCCUGUAUUUACAAAUUCUACUUACAGGUUCUGUAGGGAGAUGGUUUCUUUGUUCUUGCCUGCUUCUUCCAUGUGCUUGGUUGCUUAAACAGAUGGAGGUGAGGAGAUUUUCUCUGCUUCCAGGAAUAAAACCUCAAACUCCAUACUUGCAAACAUGAUUAAAAUUAACCAGUUAAAUUUCACGUGUGUGGUAGGUUCUCAGUGGCCAAAGCUCAGUGGAACUGUGAAAGGGUGUAGUUAAGCUGCCUUGAUAUGACAUGGACUGCUCACUGUACUGGCUGGAUCUAAUCUGGUGGAGGGGGAAUUACCUUAUCUCCAAACCUCAUCUCCCUUCCAAAUCCACCCUAACGUCAGACUGAGAAAUCAGUGCUCAGGAGAACAAAGACACAAAUUCUUUUCCACUCCAAGUGCCAGGAGCAGGAAUUUUUUAUUUAAUCUUCCGUCUGUAUUAGUGAAUCUGCUUAAUAAGGCUUCCCAAGGUAAGUCACUGCCUGACCCCCAGCCACCCCCAGGAGGAAAGAGUGAUGGAAGGAAUGAAUUGCUGCUCAUACACAGUAGCCUCAAGACCUGAUGAAAAGACAUGGUGGGUACGUGUGCAGGAGGCUCAGUACAUGAGAAUCUCUGAUUGUCUUCCCUCUAUCACUGUCUGUGUGCUUCAGAACCACUUUUCAUAAUUUCCUUCCCUUACUAUCCUAAAGACCAAACAGCCUCUUACUCCCCAUUUGGAGCAUUUAGGCUCUCUAUUAAUGGAGAACCAUUCCCUGUCACUCCCUACUGAGCCUGAAAAUCCUACCUGUC